GGACUACUGGGGUUUCUAAUCCUGUUUGCUCCCCUAGCUUUCGUUCCUCAGCGUCAGUUGUGAUCCAGCUCGCCGCUUUCGCCACGGGUGUUCCUGCAGAUAUCUACGCAUUUCACCGCUACACCUGCAAUUCCACGAGCCUCUCUCACACUCAAGCACAGCAGUUUCGGAAGCAGCCUCUAGGUUGAGCCUAGAGAUUUCACUCCCGACUUGCCACACCGCCUACGAACCCUUUACACCCAGUAAUUCCGAACAACGCUGGCCCCCUACGUCUUACCGCGGCUGCUGGCAC
rnacentral:rRNA from 1 species